rnacentral:rRNA from 1 species
CCUACGGGUGGCUGCAGUGGGGAAUAUUGGACAAUGGGCGAAAGCCUGAUCCAGCCAUGCCGCGUGUGUGAAGAAGGCCUUCGGGUUGUAAAGCACUUUCAGUGGGGAAGAAAGCCUUGGGGCUAAUACCCUCGAGGAAGGACAUCACCCACAGAAGAAGCACCGGCUAACUCCGUGCCAGCAGCCGCGGUAAUACGGAGGGUGCGAGCGUUAAUCGGAAUUACUGGGGUAAAGCGCGCGUAGGCGGUCUGAUAAGCCGGUUGUGAAAGCCCCGGGCUCAACCUGGGAACGGCAUCCGGAACUGUCAGGCUAGAGUGCAGGAGAGGAAGGUAGAAUUCCCGGUGUAGCGGUGAAAUGCGUAGAGAUCGGGAGGAAUACCAGUGGCGAAGGCGGCCUUCUGGACUGACACUGACGCUGAGGUGCGAAAGCGUGGGUAGCAAACAGGAUUAGAUACCCCGGUAGUC